ensembl:lncRNA
AAAAUAUAGGCAACCAGAGCAUUCACAUCUGAUUCCUGUUGCCAUGACAAUGGCUUUAAUCCCUCUUUUGUGCAUGGAAGGGCUUGCUUGCUUUCUCCAAGCCUGAUGCUCAGCUGCUCCAAAUUCCUUACAUGAAGAAAGAUAAGAUAAGGCUAAUAGAAGACUAACAACAAACAAGAUAAAAAAACACCAGUGAUUAGACCAUGCUGCAGGGAAUUACGUUGGCCACAUUUUCUCCUCAUGAACGAGCUGAUGUGGGUGAGAUCCUUCUAUGCUGCAGGGAAGAAUCCUGGGAAGGUUCUGAACCUUUUAGUGCACAGCACUGAGACAGGUGUGGCGCCAGCUGAUAUCCCUGCCUGAAGAUGGCAGCUUCCUCUUCGCUACCACUUCAAAGCUGCCAAGGAACUGGAUGUAACACAGGGGACCAAGAAAAGUCUUGUCUCUUCCCACGUUAUAUUAAGAAAAUACAAUUCACUGGGCUUGUUUUGAAGAUGGAAAGGGUCAUCAAACAGUCAACCAGGCAGCCCAAAAAGAGGCAGUGUCACCAUUCCUUGAGUUGUUCAAAGGAUCCAUAGAUGUGGCACAUUGGGACGCAGUUUUGUGGUGGACUUAGAAGAUUGAUGUUUGGGACUUGACCUUAAAGGUCUUUUCCAACCUAAAUGAUUCUUGUAUCCUGAUUCUAUGCUAUGUACACUGUAAUCAGCAUGAGGAGAUCACUGGUUUACAAUGUUGUUGCUUCUUUUUUUUUCCCCAAAUACUGGAAAAUAUUCAGGUCAUUAAUUACAUUUGUAGCCAUAGUUAACUUAAUUAUGUAAUAAUAAUCAAGCUUCUUGCUUCAGGGUACAAACUAAUUACCCCAAAGGACAUCUGCAUUUUAUAGAUGGCACUGCAAGUCUGGAAAGUGCAUAUAAAACUUCCUCCUCUUUUCAGAUACACUAUUAAUCACAGGUUGGACCAGAAACGGACUUUUCUUGUGUACAAAAGCUGAAUUGCAUAUAAAUUACAUGGAAGCAUGGUCCUUUCUAUUGCUAAAUAAAUGAAACAGUACCAUCA